GAGUUUGAUCCUGGCUCAGGAUGAACGCUGGCGGCGUGCUUAACACAUGCAAGUCGAGCGAAGCACUUAAGUUUGAUUCUUCGGAUGAAGACUUUUGUGACUGAGCGGCGGACGGGUGAGUAACGCGUGGGUAACCUGCCUCAUACAGGGGGAUAACAGUUAGAAAUGGCUGCUAAUACCGCAUAAGACCACAGUACUGCAUGGUACAGUGGUAAAAACUCCGGUGGUAUGAGAUGGACCCGCGUCUGAUUAGGUAGUUGGUGAGGUAACGGCCCACCAAGCCGACGAUCAGUAGCCGACCUGAGAGGGUGACCGGCCACAUUGGGACUGAGACACGGCCCAGACUCCUACGGGAGGCAGCAGUGGGGAAUAUUGCACAAUGGGUGAAAGCCUGAUGCAGCGACGCCGCGUGAAGGAUGAAGUAUUUCGGUAUGUAAACUUCUAUCAGCAGGGAAGAAAAUGACGGUACCUGACUAAGAAGCCCCGGCUAACUACGUGCCAGCCGCCGCGGUAAUUC
rnacentral:rRNA from 1 species